rnacentral:rRNA from 1 species
CGGGGUGCACCAGGCGCGAAAACUUUACAAUGCUGGCAACAGCGAUAAGGGGACCUCGAGUGCCAGGAUACAAUCUUGGCUGUCGCGAUGCCUAAAAAGCAUUGCAUAGCAAGGGCCGGGCAAGACCGGUGCCAGCCGCCGCGGUAACACCGGCGGCUCGAGUGGUAACCGCUAUUAUUGGGUCUAAAGGGUCUGUAGCCGGCCGGAUAAGUCUCUUGGGAAAUCCAGCUGCUCAACAGUUGGGCUUUCAGGAGAUACUGUUCGGCUCGAGACCGGGAGAGGUGAGAGGUACUUCAGGGGUAGGGGUGAAAUCUUGUAAUCCUUGAAGGACCACCAGUGGCGAAGGCGUCUCACCAGAACGGAUCUGACGGCAAGGGACGAAAGCUAGGGGCACGAACCGGAUUAGAUACCCGGGUAGUCCUAGCCGUAAACGAUACUCGCUAGGUGUCAGCCACGGUGCGACCGUGGUUGGUGCCGUAGGGAAGCCGUGAAGCGAGCCACCUGGGAAGUACGGCCGCAAGGCUGAAACUUAAAGGAAUUGGCGGGGGAGCAC